GAUCAUUCCUUGUUCUAUAAGGGGAAUUGUCGUAAAAGCCCAUCUUAACCCCAUCAUGGAGGAUAAUAUCAUGCCUUUGCACUUAGCAUACACUCCGUUGGGCAUUGUUCCUUUGAAACCAUCCGACAAGCUCUUCAAAAGUUGUCCCUUGGGACACAUCCUUGAAUGUCAGGGGGUUGCAAGUGUUGUGGCAAUCACAAUAGACAAAAUCAAGGUCAACCUAGACUUCCACAUCUUUGAUAUCCUUGAUUUUGAUUUUC
rnacentral:lncRNA from 1 species